AAGGCUCCUUGUUUUUUUUAUUUGAUCUAAAUUGAAGGAGCUUCUUUUCCUGGUAACCAGCAAUCCCUGGGCCCAAGUCACCAGAGAGGGCUGAGGCUGGCUGGUGGACUCCUCGCCCAGUGCUCGUCCCAUGGCACCACAACUCCUGCUUCCUCCCUUGGGGUGCUGGGGGGCAAGGAUUCAGGCAUCCUCAUCUCCCUGUGGCUGCGUGAUGCUGAAACACAGGAGGCCGUGAGAAGAGCAUAAGUGACAGCCAAGUCGGUGACAAGUUAAUUUCCCCAGUGAGGAUUUGAGCCCUCAUGGCCCAAACAGGCACAUGAUUUGCCUAAUUUUCCCUCAAGGGACAUGUCUUCCUCCUCAAGAAAGUCACUAAGGAGCUUCCCUCUCUCCCUUGUAAACAACCGUAGAUAAUGCCUUCCCCUGAUCCCCCCACAGCGCUGGCCUUUGGAUGCUCGGUUAACCUAAAUUGCCGACAGCUUCGCUGGAGUCCCCGGAGGCCUCGGCCGCCUGAGAGGCAGCCCUCCCAACCCCACUUCAGAUCUGAGCUCUCCAAGCGCCCGAGCAAACGGCGGGCAGAGGGGACCACAAACCUGAGGGCUCGCCGUCUAGGAAGGCUCCAUGCAGACAGAUGUGAGGCUUCCAGGACAGGCCGCUGGUUAGCACAGCAGCAGGCGCACAGCACACGUUUAUUCUUCUCACUCGGGCAUUCGGGCUCAGCCCUGUGUUUCAUCCCACCACUGACCCAUAUGGGUCAUAUGACCAUACGGGACUUUUGACGAGGGACUCAACCUCUCCCAGUCCAAGAUCCUUAGCCAUAAACAGGAAUGGGAUGAAGCAAGAUGACCGACGCGAAGGACCAGGAAGAAAGCCUGGUGAAUAUAGGUCUCCAACAACAGCUCUGAGGAUGAUGACGACUGAGGCAGAGACCCUGACCUACGAGAGCCUCUGUGGCUAGGGAGAAAAUGGGAACAAACGCAGCCACAGGAGAGCUUUCCCUCCCUGAUCCUCCAGUGCUCGCUGGAGAGAGUUCUGAGAAGAAAGGCCCAGGGCGCUGGCACAGACAAGAGAAAGCUUCAGAGGACAUUGAGUCUUGAAAUAAGAUCAAGAGGAAAGGAGGGAGGAACGG
rnacentral:lncRNA from 1 species